UCCCUCUCUAUUCUCACCCAUGUCUCCUCCUCAUUCCCUCUUUAUCUCUCUCGGUCUUUCUCUCCCUUCCUAUUCUUCUUCCCUACCCUCUCUCUUCGCUUGCUCCCGAAACUGCUCUCUAAUCUUAGCUCGCAAGAAGAUAAGAAGCUGAAAACUCUUGCAAAGGGGAAUCUGUGGUGCCAGUGUGUGAAUUACAUUACAGCCAUAUGGUUGAACUUAGAGUAGGUUGCAACCACAUUUAUUGUAGGAACAACAAAGGACUUCAAAGAAGCAUUAAGAACCUGUUUUUGAGAUUUGAGAUCCUUGGGUUUUAUUACUUUGGUUCUUCUAUGUUGUGUGCUUUUGGAUGAUUCAUGUAACAUUUUUGUAAUCAAGUUAAGGUUCAAUUUUACCAUCAAUUGUUCAACCGACUUGACAAGAUCGGAUGAAAAAAAACUCACCCGCUUCUAAUCGGAUUAUGAUUUGAAACCUGUUUGGGAAUUAUGGUUUC